rnacentral:rRNA from 1 species
GCUUAAAGGGGCCGUAGCUGGCCGCGUAGGUCCGUCGGGAAAUCUACUGGCUUAACCAGUAGGCGUCCGGCGGAAACCUCGUGGCUUGGGACCGGAAGACUGAGGGGUACGUCCGGGGUAGGAGUGAAAUCCUGUAAUCCUGGACGGACCACCGGUGGCGAAAGCGCCUCAGGAAGACGGAUCCGACAGUGAGGGACGAAAGCUAGGGUCUCGAACCGGAUUAGAUACCCGGGUAGUCCUAGCCGUAAACGAUGCUCGUUAGGUGUGGCGCAGGCUACGAGCCUGCGCUGUGCCGUAGGGAAGCCGAGAAACGAGCCGCCUGGGAAGUACGUCCGCAAGGAUGAAACUUAAAGGAAUUGGCGGGGGAGCACCACAACCGGAGGAGCCUGCGGUUUAAUUGGACUCAACGCCGGACAUCUCACCAGCUCCGACAGCAAUAAUGACAGUCAGGUUGACGACCUUACUCGACGUUGCUGAGAGGAGGUGCAUGGCCGCCGUCAGCUCGUACCGUGAGGCGUCCUGUUAAGUCAGGCAACGAGCGAGACCCGCACCUCUAGUUGCCAGCAGCAUCUUGCGAUGGCUGGGUACACUAGGGGGACUGCCGCCGCUAAGGCGGAGGAAGGAACGGGCAACGGUAGGUCAGUAUGCCCCGAAUGAGCUGGGCAACACGCGGGCUACAAUGGUCAAGACAAUGGGAUGCGACGCCGAGAGGCGAAGCUAAUCUCCUAAACUUGGUCGUAGUUCGGAUUGCGGACUGAAACCCGUCCGCAUGAAGCUGGAUUCGGUAGUAAUCGCGUUUCAGAAGAGCGCGGUGAAUACGUCCCUGCUCCUUGGACUCACCGCCCGU